CUUAAGUCGGAUCCUCAACUGACUGAGCCACCCAGGUGCCCCUAACAUGGUCAUCUUCUUAUGAGGACAUCAGUUCUAUUGGAUUAAGGGCCCACCCUACUCCAGUAUGACAUCAUCUUAACUCAUUGUCUCUGCAACAACCUUAUUCCAAGCAAGGUCACAUUCUGAGGGAAUAGGAGUUAGGACUAGGGACACAAUUCAACCCAAACAGUAAUCAAUAAUAUUUAAGAUGCUGAGACCAGAGUCUGACUAGGUGACUUCAAGGGUUCUACCCUGAUGAAAUAUCAUAAGAUUCUAAGUAGUCUUCAUGCCCAGCACGGAGCCCAAUGUGGGGCCUGAACUCACAACCCUGAGAUCAAUCAAGACCUGAGCGGAGAUCAAGAGUUGGAUGCUUAACCGACUGAGCUACCCAGAUGUGCCCCUCUUUCAACACUUUCAAUAUUUCCAUCCAUUUCUUGCCUGCGUGGUUUCCGAAGGGAAAUUCUGUGUCAUUCUUUCCUCUCUCCUCCAUAGAAGAGUAAGAGACACCAGGGAUACACACACGUGGAAAAAGCCAGGUGAGGACACAAUCAGAAGGCAGCCACCUAUGAGCCAAAGAGAGAGGCCUCAGGAGAAACCAGACCUGCUGGAACCUUGAUCUCAGACUUACAGCCUCCAGAACUGUGAGAAAAUACAUUUCUGUUUUCAGCCAUUGAGUCUGUGGCACUUUGUACGUCAGCCCUAGCAAAUCAAUACAAAGAUGUUAUGUUAACUGAAAUAAGCCAGGCAAAUACUGUUUGAUUUCACUUAUAUAAGGUAUCUAGAGUGGUCAAAUUCAUAGAAACAGAAAUAGUAGCAGAAUAGUAGUUCCCAGGGGCUGGCAGAGGAGGGCAAAAUGGGGAGUUGUUGUUUCAUGGAUGUAGAGUUUUGAUUUUGCAAGAUUUUCAUCUUGCACAUGGAGGCUGGUUGCACAACGGUGUGAAUGUACUUUAUUGAGCUGCACACUCAAAAAUGAAGAUGAUAAAUUGUUAUGUGUAUUUGACAAUUAAAACACAUACACACAUGCAUGUGCACACACACACACACACACACACACAGAGACACAAAAGAAGCCAGUUGUUAGAAGGGUCAUCUAUGUGUGUAUUGAAACUGCCAAGAAUGAGGACAUGAGAGAUGGAACAUCGUUUUGUGUUUACUGGACAUACAGAUCCUUCUGCCGAUUGUCUGUUCUUUACUUCUGUAUGUAUGUAUGUAUGCAUGUAUGUAUUGAGCAGGCUCAAGCAGGGCAGAUGGGUAUAGAGGGAGGGAGAGAGAGAAUCCCAAGCUGACUCCCAGCUCAGCGUGCAGCCCAGUGCAGGGCUCGAUCCCACAACCCUGGGAUCAUAACCUGAGCUGAAAUCAAGAGUUGGAUGCUCAAUUGACUGAGCCACACAGGUGCCCCUGCCAAUUCUCUGUUCUUACCUUCAACCACUUUUCUGUUGGGUUGUCUUUCUCGAAUAGAUUUUUUUUA